rnacentral:rRNA from 1 species
CUACGGGAGGCUCCAGUGGGGAAUAUUGGGCAAUGGGCGCAAGCCUGACCCAGCAACGCCGCGUGAGGGAAGAAGGUUUUCGGAUUGUAAACCUCUGUCCUUGGGGACGAAGAAGUGACGGUACCCAAGGAGGAAGCUCCGGCUAACUACGUGCCAGCAGCCGCGGUAAUACGUAGGGAGCGAGCGUUGUCCGGAAUUACUGGGCGUAAAGGGUGCGUAGGCGGCAUAUUAAGUCAGGUGUGAAAUACCCGGGCUCAACCCGGGGGGUGCAUUUGAACCUGAUACGCUUGAGUGUGAGAGAGGAAAGUGGAAUUCCUAGUGUAGCGGUGAAAUGCGUAGAUAUUAGGAGGAACAUCAGUGGCGAAGGCGACUUUCUGGCUCAUAACUGACGCUGAGGCACGAAAGCGUGGGGAGCAAACAGGAUUAGAUACCCUCGUAGUC